UUCCCCACUUUCUUCUAACAGACAUGCACACACACACACACACACUAAAACACAUUCACCCUGAACAUUGUUGAAAGUAGCAGGAACUGUAGUAUCAUCUUAAAACUCCUUUUUCAGAACCCAGAUUCCAGGCCAGGUUCUGUGGUCAGGCAGGUCACAGAAUCCACUGUAUCUCAGUCUACCUGAAGUGGCAAUUCUAAUCUCUGUCUUUCCUACCUCACAGGGAUGUCAUGGGUACAACGGAGUGAGUUCUCUGGAAGAAAAUUACUGUAGGCGAUCAAGAGCAGGGCUGGUUGCCGGUGACACCGAUCAGGACCGGCCUCGAUACUGCCCCGUGGCAAGGAGGGGGGAGAGCGACGGACUGAAAUGUCAGCUGC
rnacentral:lncRNA from 1 species